ACCACGGUAGGAUUCGUGACUGGGGUGAAGUCGUAACAAGGUAGCCGUAUCGGAAGGUGCGGCUGGAUCACCUCCUUUCUAGA
rnacentral:rRNA from 1 species